rnacentral:rRNA from 1 species
AACGAACGCUGGCGGCAGGCUUAACACAUGCAAGUCGAGCGCCCUGCAAGGGGAGCGGCAGACGGGUGAGUAACGCGUGGGAAUCUACCCAUCUCUACGGAAUAACGCAUGGAAACGUGUGCUAAUACCGAAUACGUCCUUCGGGAGAAAGAUUUAUCGGAGAUGGAUGAGCCCGCGUUGGAUUAGCUAGUUGGGGGGGUAAAGGCCUACCAAGGCGACGAUCCAUAGCUGGUCUGAGAGGAUGAUCAGCCACACUGGGACUGAGACACGGCCCAGACUCCUACGGGAGGCAGCAGUGGGGAAUAUUGGACAAUGGGCGCAAGCCUGAUCCAGCCAUGCCGCGUGAGUGAUGAAGGCCCUAGGGUUGUAAAGCUCUUUCACCGGUGAAGAUAAUGACGGUAACCGGAGAAGAAGCCCCGGCUAACUUCGUGCCAGCCGCCGCCGUAAGAC